rnacentral:rRNA from 1 species
UACGUAGGGUGCAAGCGUUGUCCGGAAUCAUUGGGCGUAAAGAGCGCGUAGGCGGCCCGAUAAGUCCGCUGUGAAAGUCAAGGGCUCAACCCUUGAAUGCCGGUGGAUACUGUCGGGCUAGAGUCCGGAAGAGGCGAGUGGAAUUCCUGGUGUAGCGGUGAAAUGCGCAGAUAUCAGGAGGAACACCGAUUGCGAAGGCAGCUCGCUGGGACGUUACUGACGCUGAGACGCGAAAGCGUGGGGAGCAAACAGG